AAACCAUGCACCGAAGCUGCGGCAGCGACACUGUGUGUUGUUGGGUAGGGGAGCGUUCUGUAAGCCUGUGAAGGUGUGUCGUGAGGCAUGCUGGAGGUAUCAGAAGUGCGAAUGCUGACAUAAGUAACGAUAAAGCGGGUGAAAAGCCCGCUCGCCGGAAGACCAAGGGUUCCUGUCCAACGUUAAUCGGGGCAGGGUGAGUCGACCCCUAAGGCGAGGCCGAAAGGCGUAGUCGAUGGGAAACGGGUUAAUAUUCCCGUACUUGGUGUUACUGCGAAGGGGGGACGGAGAAGGCUAUGUUGGCCGGGCGACGGUUGUCCCGGUUUAAGCGUGUAGGUGUGUGUUCCAGGUAAAUCCGGUUCACUUUAACACUGAGGCGUGACGACGAGGCACUACGGUGCUGAAGCAACAAAUGCCCUGCUUCCAGGAAAAGCCUCUAAGCAUCAGGUAACAUCAAAUCGUACCCCAAACCGACACAGGUGGUCAGGUAGAGAAUACCAAGGCGCUUGAGAGAACUCGGGUGAAGGAACUAGGCAAAAUGGUGCCGUAACUUCGGGAGAAGGCACGCUGACACGUAGGUGAAGUGAUUUACUCAUGGAGCUGAAGUCAGUCGAAGAUACCAGCUGGCUGCAACUGUUUAUUAAAAACACAGCACUGUGCAAACACGAAAGUGGACGUAUACGGUGUGACGCCUGCCCGGUGCCGGAAGGUUAAUUGAUGGGGUCAGCGCAAGCGAAGCUCCUGAUCGAAGCCCCGGUAAACGGCGGCCGUAACUAUAACGGUCCUAAGGUAGCGAAAUUCCUUGUCGGGUAAGUUCCGACCUGCACGAAUGGCGUAAUGAUGGCCAGGCUGUCUCCACCCGAGACUCAGUGAAAUUGAACUCGCUGUGAAGAUGCAGUGUACCCGCGGCAAGACGGAAAGACCCCGUGAACCUUUACUAUAGCUUGACACUGAACAUUGAGCCUUGAUGUGUAGGAUAGGUGGGAGGCUUUGAAGUGUGGACGCCAGUCUGCAUGGAGCCGACCUUGAAAUACCACCCUUUAAUGUUUGAUGUUCUAACGUGGACCCGUUACCCGGGUUGCGGACAGUGUCUGGUGGGUAGUUUGACUGGGGCGGUCUCCUCCUAAAGAGUAACGGAGGAGCACGAAGGUUGGCUAAUCCU
rnacentral:rRNA from 1 species